rnacentral:rRNA from 1 species
UACGGAGGGUGCGAGCGUUGUCCGGAAUCAUUGGGCGUAAAGGGCGCGUAGGUGGCCCGGUCAGUCUUUGGUGAAAGCGCGGGGCUCAACCCUGCGUCGGCCAGGGAUACUGCCGCGGCUCGAGCACUGUAGAGGCAGGCGGAAUUCCGGGUGUAGCGGUGAAAUGCGCAGAUAUCAGGAGGAACACCGGUGGCGAAGGCAGAUCUCUGGGCCAUUACUGACGCUGAGGAGCGAAAGCGUGGGGAGCGAACAGG